AAUUCUCAAUUAAUGGAUUGCUCAUCCCACAGGGAUGGGGGUGGAUGUUCUUCACUGCCACCAGCUCCUCUGUUACUGCCAGCCUUUAAUUGGUGAGGAAAGUCAUGAGGUCUCACCAGUGCCCCAGGGAUGGAGCAUUUACCAAAUGAGUUUUGUGCAGGAGGCUCUGCUUCAGUGUGAAAAAUGUCAUUACGGGCUUGACAGUGAAGACAAGAUUUCUUCAGCUGCCCAAGAGCUUGCACUGAGAUGAAGACUGUACAGAAUUAAUUUUGGUGCAUAGGACUGAUCAGGAAAGCAGUGAUGGUGUUUUCUGACAGGGUGCCCUAUGCCAUGGCUGGAGUCACACCAGGAUUGUGGCAGGUUUGGGCUCAGCUCCUGGUGAGUGACACUGGGCCAGAGCAGGGUUUGUUCCUGUGGUUCACCCCUUCCAGGGGAGCAGCAGCAGCACUGCUGCUGGCAGAGGACAUCGUGGGAAUGUGUUGGCUUUGAUGCUGUCCUCUUGGAGGGCAACUGCUGAACUGCUCAAAAAUAGCUUCCUUCCUUUGUUCUGUCAGGAAAGUACUUCAUUAUCCCAGCUCAGGAUUAAUGGAAAUGUGUGAUGAGUCUGCUCGGGAGAGAGGGAAAGAAAAGCUUUCCAGGCGUUCCUUUGGCUUAUGGCUUAUCUCAGCUUUAACAAGUGACACAGCAGCAGGGCUGACCUCCAGAGAAGGGUGCUCAGCAUUUUUGUACUGGUAAUUUUACUGCCUCUAGCAAAGGACUGAUGAUAUCAGCAGGUUUGCUCUGCACAGGGGCCAUGCAUGUGGAUCUUCAUGAAAUUCAGUAAAACUGACCACUAAGCCCCCAGAAAGACAAGACAUCACCUUGACAGCCUCAUACCUACAGACAUGAUGCCUAUCUCUGAAUCUAAAUUUAUUCCAUGACAUUAUCGAGGUGCACUUUGUCAUAUCCCAGAAAUUUACCCUUGUAAUGUGUGGCUUUGCCAGGAUUUAGAAUGGAAAGCUUUGGCUGAGUGGCAGCUUUGGUGUUACAAGCAAAUAUCGGUAACUGCCUUAGCAGUGGCUGGGCCUGGCUCACAGAUUAAUGCCCACUGCAGUCUCAGAUGCUGAGAACACAAACAAUAUACACACUAUAAGCACCAGAAGUCAGUUCCCAGAAGGCAAAAAGUUGGUUUCUCUGCAGUAUAGAACUGAACAAGAAGUUAAGAGCAGUUGCUGUAUCCUCCUUUCCCUGACUUUCAGGCUGUUACACAAACACUGCAAUGAUCAGGUUUCACUAGACACUCACACCACCCUUCACCAAUUUUUUUCAGGCCAUUCUGGUUUAUUUGGAUCAAGUGUUUGGGCACAAGUAGAAAUGCUGAUUGGUUUUAGACACCUUCAGGACCCAGGGGAUGCAGCAGAGCAAUUGUCUAAGUUCAUCUCUAGGGCUUCAAUUCCUUUAAAUUACUUUGCCCAGGUAAAUCUCUGGACAGCUGCAAGACCUUUCCAAUUCAAGAAAUCUUUUACUGAUAGUUCUUAGGUCCUGCAGCUCACUGUGGACACUGAUGUGUCAGUGGAAGUGGUUCAAAACUACUAGAAGAGAUUUAGGCAUGGUAUUAGGAGGCUUUUUCUUUCACUGAAAGGGUGGUCAAAACCUGCCCCAGCCCUCCUGGAGAGGUGGUGGAUGGCCCAGGCUGUCAGUGUUUCACAGGCUUUGGACAAUGCCCAGAACAAUGUGCUUUAACCUGCUCAGCUCUGAGGUGGUCAAUUCAGUGUUUGCAAGCGAUCAGCCCCUCUGGGACCAGCUCCAAUCCACUGAAGUGGAUUAUUUCAUAUUUGUGUACACACACAUCUACACUCCCAAACAUCCUGCUAGCAGGGCAGGUAAAGAUCAGGUGAAACUGUCAAUAUCUUUUUAUCAGAUGAAAAGAAAACCAAAACAGAUAUGAGUACCCAUCUUGUGGUUCAUGUCAUGGAUACUCCCUUUGUAAGGAACUUUUCUUUGUUAAAUUCAGUGAUUUAACAUUCCACUGCUCUGUUAAAUUCAGAGCAGUGGAACAGCACCACAGCAAUUGCAAAACUCUGUAUAUUGGAAAGUGAGAAACAAAAGAACAAAUUACCUUGGAGAGGCCCGUGCAUGACACCGAUGUAAACUGAGACUCAUUCAUAUUGGUUUUGCUUUCAAAAUCUGUCAGGGAUGAUAAAAGUGGUGGAUGCAGAGCAGAUUUUAACUGCUCCCAUGGCCAUAGAGCUGGAGAUCUUACCUCUUACUCUUCCCAUUUCUCCUCCUGGGAGGAACAGGGCACUGUUUCAGCACUCAAGUAAUAUUGUUGCUCUUUGUAGGGAAUGUCUGAAAUUUUAGAAAAGGGCUUUGGGAUUAACCUGUUAGAAAUUCUGAACUAUUGCAUUGUGGGAAUAAAUGUGACCUGAAGAUGAAAUUUGUCUUGAAGGAGUUUUAGAUUUUAUCAGCACCUUCUCCUGUCAAAGCUGAUGAGCAAAACCAAAUCAUAUAGAUUUACUGCUACUAGUGCACCUUUCAGAAUUAGUGCAGCACAUCUGGCAGCCUUACCUAAAAAAAAAAAAUAAAAAAAUCAAGAAAUAAGGAAAAAUAAAAAAAGUGAAAAGUUUUUUUCAGUGAAGGUGUGACAUUUAGGGCCUUAAUCUAGAUUCCAUCUCUUCCUACAGCACAAGAAGGGGCUUAAUCUGCUACAGACUUUUAAUUCCUGAUAUUUGAAAUGGUGGCAAACUGAACAUACUAUGUGGUAGGAUGUUUAUGUUGGCACAUUCCUGAGAAUCAUCCCUGAGCUAACGAACUGCAUUGUGCUGUGCAUGCCCUUGAGUAGGAAAGAAAAGAGGAAAACAGACAGAAAACUAGGCUGUUUAAUCACCAUUUCUUUAUUACAAAAUAAUGAAAGUAUAACUUAUAUUUUAUCUGUUUUUCACGGCUUUUGGGACUAGGGCAAUAAGGGCUCUGUGACAAUAAUGGCAAACUUGGUGAUCAAGUGUCCCCCCAGCAUGUUGCAGAUGACACCAGGCUGAGUGAUGCAGGUGACAAACCUGAAGGACAGGAGGGACCUGGACAAGCUUGAGCAGUGGGACCACAGGAAUCUCAUGCAGUUUAACAAGACCAAGGGCUGGUGCUGCACCUGGCCUGGACAAUCCCAGGCAGCAGUACAGGCUGGGGGAAGAGCUCACUGAGAGCAGCGCUGCAGAAAAGGACUUGGGAGAGCUGCUGGACCAGAGGCUGGCCUUGAGCUGGCCAUGGGCACUUGUAGCCCAGAAAACAAAUGGUGUCCUGGGCUGUAUCAAAGAGAGGCCAGCUGGUCCAGGGAAUUGAUUGUCUCCCUCUACUCUGCUUUCAUAAGACCCACCUGGAAAGAUAACCUCUACCAGCAGAAGUUAAUCCCAAUGUCUUGAACACAAUAUUUAAUGUUAAUAACUACACCAAAGUACCAACACAUCUUUCUUUUGAUGUUCCUCACUAUCACCUUACUCUUCUCACACCUCAAUACUGAAUAUUAUCAAUAAAAAUAGCAACUGGCUGUAGUUCUUCACAAAUUCUGUCACUAAACUCUUAAAUCUGCACAGUUUCAAAAGGAGUAGUUCAGAUUGGCUGCCCCAAAAUCAGAGACAGAGAAGCAAAUGCUCUGAGAAGUGACCAGGACCAUGAGAAGAGCCCAUGGCAGAGUGUGCUGGGAUUUCUGAAUCCUAAUGGCACAGCACAAGUGUUGACCUCUUCCACAGGUGUUGACUACUCUUCCCAUAAGCAAAUGACAGGUGAAUCACACACAUCUAGGUGACACACGUGCGUGUGUGUGUCUGUCACAGGGCAGUGACCCACAGGAGCCUGGAGAGGCCUUUGCCUGCAACUGGCAAAGGCAGGUGGAAAAAUGUGAUAGCUGAAAAAGUACAUGAGCUUACAACAAUCUGAACUUCUGCAGAAGCUACAAAAACCCAGACAAGACAGAAUUAGUAUCUGGGAAUCAGUAAGUUAUUCCUCUGGAUAUGGAAAAGGUUCCCUCAUUUGUCAGGGCAGAGAAUUUCUUUCAAAACGGUUUCCUUUCUAGAACAAAUGUGAUGCCAGUAGAAUUUGUGAGCUGGAAAAAGAGCAAAGUGUUUAUCUUUCACUUCCAGUUUUAAGGAACAGCUUUGAAAACUACUGGGAAACAUUUACACACUCUGCAUUCAUUGCUGCAAUCAACUCCCUUUCAUUUUUAAAGCCAGGCACCACCACGUGGGAAUUCCACACACUUGGUAGUUUUUAUAGCUCAUGAAAACAUCUGCAUUUCCCUCCUUGGUGCACAGAUUAUUCAGUCCCAUGCAGAAUACUGAAAUAAUGUAGCCAUAUUUAGUGUAACUCCCUGCUAUUGCUGCGCUGCCAUGGGAUGACCCUCACAGCGGAUCCUGCACAUUUGGGAGCACACAAUCACAGCCAGCGAGGAUGCCCGGCAUCAAAAAAGAUAAAAGAUGUCUGGUUUAUGAACAAUCAGUUUUGAGACAAAGGGAGGCUGGGGGAAAUGCAAAAUCAGUUACCUGGAACAGCAACCAAGCCAUGAGGCUUCAGGAUCUGUGGUGAUGAAAGUCACCCAAGGCUCUCCACCACCACAGAUCUCACCAUGAAGCAAAGCAAGGCACAUACAGAAACUUAAUUAGAGGGAGGGAUUCACCAGCUCCCAUAAAGCACAAGUUCUUCUCUACAAAGUCUUCUCAGACUCUGCUUACUCCCAUCACCCACCUGGAAAGUGUGCUUGUGUCACUCUCCCCAUUCCUGGGGGCUCAGGGGGCUCCUCCACGUGGAACUGACAGUGGGCAGUCACACCAGGCACUCCCCAGCACACAGGGUACUGCCAAAAGCAACUUCCAUCUUGCAAAAUCAUUGGAUUUAACUGAAUGGCUCAAAAGUAGGGAGUAAUAAUUUCCUGAACCAGUCUUGCACAAGCCAUCACUGUUGGGCUGCAACAGUCUGGAAUCAGAAUACCACAUUCAAAUCCAUGAAAACUUGCCCCACCCAGCAGCUUUUUUCCUGAAGUAUUCCAUAUUUUCCCUAAACUUUUUUUCCUAAAAUUCUUCUAAAAUAAAUAAGAAGUCUUUAGUCAAAAGCAAAGCAGCACCUGCAUUGCACAUCUUUAAUUCCCAGGCUUUGUGGCUUAGUUUCUAAAGCAGUAAUGGAACCAUGUUGACUUAAUUUUUAAGCUAACCUGGCAAGAGACAUUUUGUUAACUUCAAGAAGGAACAAUGAAUCUGUAUUUUCAAAAUGGAGCUUGCAAAAGCAGCAAAUAUGUGCAAGGUUAUAAGUCUUGCCUAUCUGGAAAAUUACCUGCAGA